rnacentral:snRNA from 1 species
AUACUUACCUGGCAGGGGAGAUACCACGAUCACGAAGGCGGUUUCCCCAGGACGAGGCUUAUCCACUGCACUCCGGGUGUGCUGACCCCUGCGAUUUCCCCAAAUGUGGGAAACUCAACUGCAUAAUUUGUGGUAGUGGGGGACUGUGUUCGUGCUCUCCCCUG